rnacentral:tRNA from 1 species
ACCUGGGUGGCUCAGUCAGUUGAGCAUCUGACUCUGGCUCAGGUCGUGAUCUCGUGGUUUGUGGGUUCGAGCCCCGCGUCGGGUU